GCCUGGUGGUGCGUGCCUGUAGUCCCAGAUACUCAGGAGGCUGAGGUGGGAGGGUCGCUUGAACUCGAUUUCUGGGCUGUAGUGCACUAUGCCGGUCUGGUGUCUGCACUAAGUUUGACGUCAAUAUGGUGACCUUCUGGGAGCAGGGGACCACCAGGUUGCCUAAGGAGGGGUGAACCGGCCCAGGUCGGAAACAGAGCAGGUCAAAACUCCCCUACUGCUCAGUAGCGGGAACGCCCCUCUGAAUAGCCACUACAGUCCAGCCUGAGCAACAUAGCCAGAACUUGUCUCUU
ensembl:misc_RNA Metazoa_SRP Metazoan signal recognition particle RNA